rnacentral:rRNA from 1 species
UACAGAGGUCCCAAGCGUUGUUCGGAUUCACUGGGCGUAAAGGGCGUGUAGGCGGGAAUGUAAGUCGGGCGUGAAAGCCCCAGGCUCAACCUGGGAACUGCACUCGAAACUGCGUUUCUUGAGUAUCGGAGAGGAAAGCGGAAUACCUGGUGUAGAGGUGAAAUUCGUAGAUAUCAGGUGGAACACCAGUGGCGAAGGCGGCUUUCUGGACGAUUACUGACGCUGAGACGCGAAAGCGUGGGGAGCAAACAGG